ncrna:unclassified sequences Glutamine-II riboswitch (downstream peptide RNA)
CAACGUUCACUUCGCUACACAGCGGAGCGCAGUUCGACCGGCGCCAUGGAACGGGGACGCCGG